UACGGGGGGGGCAAGCGUUGUUCGGAAUUACUGGGCGUAAAGGGCGCGUAGGCGGGUGGACAAGUCUUUCGUGAAAGCCCACGGCUCAACCGUGGAAUUGCGGGAGAUACUGUCUGUCUUGAGUCCGGGAGAGGAGGGUGGAAUUCCCAGUGUAGCGGUGAAAUGCGUAGAUAUUGGGAGGAACGCUGGUGGCGAAGGCGGCUCUCUGGACCGGUACUGACGCUGAGGCGCGAAAGCUAGGGGAGCAAACGGU
rnacentral:rRNA from 1 species